rnacentral:rRNA from 1 species
GACGAACGCUGGCGGCGUGCUUAACACAUGCAAGUCGAACGGUGAAGGGGUCUGCUUUUGUGGGCCCUGGAUGAGUGGCGAACGGGUGAGUAACACGUGAGUAACCUGCCCCCUUCUUCUGGAUAACCGCAUGAAGGGUGGCUAAUACGGGAUAUUCUGGGUCUGUCGCAUGAUGGGUCUGGGAAAGGUUGCGCCUUUGGGUGUUUUUGGUGGGGGAUGGGCUCGCGGCCUAUCAGCUUGUUGGUGGGGUGAUGGCCUACCAAGGCGGUGACGGGUAGCCGGCCUGGGGGGGUGGACGGUCACACUGGGACUGCGACACGGCCCAGACUCCUACGGGAGGCAGCAGUGGGGAAUAUUGCACAAUGGGCGCAAGCCUGAUGCAGCGACGCCGCGUGAGGGAUGGAGGCCUUCGGGUUGUAAACCUCUUUCGCCAGUGAAGCAGGCCUGCUCCUUGUGGGUGGGUUGACGGUAGCUGGACAAGAAGCGCCGGCUAACUACGUG